rnacentral:rRNA from 1 species
AUGCCGUCGCCCGCCACGGCCACGGCCGCGGCCGCGGGAGCGCCCCUCCAUCGCCGCCCGUGCGCACCGCGCCGCCUCGUGCAAGCCUCCUACUGCUCCCUCGCCUCCCGCGCGCUCGUCGAACCCGCGCGCCACGCCGCCCCGGCCCCGCUGCUCGUCCGCAGGCCCCGGCCGUCUCUGGCGGUGGCGAGGGCGGCGAGCCCCGACGCCGCCACCGGUUCGUCGCGGUCGCCCGCCUCCGGCGGCCAGAUGCUGGUGUUCGUCCCGCCGCACCCGCUGAUAAAACACUGGGUCUCCGUCCUGCGCAACGAGCAGACGCCCUGCGCCGUCUUCCGGAGUGCUAUGGCAGAGCUUGGUCGUCUCCUCAUAUAUGAAGCCUGCAGGGAUUGGCUGCCUACAAUCACAGGAGAAAUCCAAACACCCGUGGCUGUUUCAAGUGUUGAAUUCAUUGAUCCAAGGGAGCCUGUUAUGGUUGUUCCAAUUCUGAGAGCUGGUCUUGCUCUAGCUGAAAACGCUUCAUCAAUUUUGCCAGCCACCAAGACUUAUCACCUUGGACUUCGUAGGGAUGAAGAAACACUUCAACCUUCGGUAUAUCUCAACAACUUGCCAGAAAAGAUUCCAGAGGGGACUCGUGUGCUAGUUAUUGAUCCAAUGCUGGCCACUGGUGGGACAAUCGUUGCUGCUAUUGACUUGUUGGUUGACCGUGGAGUUACAAGCAAACAAAUUAAAGUUGUAUCAGCUGUUGCAGCACCUCCUGCGCUACAAAAGCUCAGCAACAAGUUCCCUGGGCUCCAUGUGUACGCAGGGAUGAUCGAUUCUGAAGUAGACGAGAGAGGGUACAUAGUUCCCGGGUUGGGAGAUGCUGGUGAUAGAAGCUUUAAUACAUAA